rnacentral:misc_RNA from 1 species
UUUCCGUAGGUGAACCUGCGGAAGGAUCAUUAUCGUAUAACCGAGGUGCGAGGGCUGUCGCUGACCCGAAAGGUCGUGCACGCCCGAGUGCCCUCACACACAUCCAUCUCACCCCUAUGUGCACCACCGCGUGGGUCCCCCUUUGGCUUGUUCGGAGGGGGGCUUACGUUUUCACACAAACUUUGUAUGCAGUGUAGAAUGUAUUUUUUGUUUUUGCGAUCACGCAAUCAAUACGACUUUCAACAACGGAUCUCUUGGCUCUC